AGAAAUAUCACCAGGUUCAGAAAUAUUGGACAGAUUUGUCGGUACAUGGCCGGUAUUAGUUGGUGGAGCGAUUUGACAAGUUAUUGCAGAUAACAAAGAGACUCUGUAAUGCUGAAUAGUUUCAGCUUUUCUUUUGAACCGACAAUUCUUCUUAGAGGGACUGACGACUCUUAGUCACACAAGAUUGAGCAAUAA
rnacentral:rRNA from 1 species